GGGAGAGUUUGGACAUACAAGGACUUGAAUGUGUUAUUGGGGUGCAUGAUGUGAAUUUCUCAGAGAAUCAAUAUAAAUCUUGUGUUGAAAAUAAAAAUAAAAUCAUGAUAUGCUUGGUAACUAUGUACUGGUCAGUUGAAGGAUAGAAAGUAAAGGAAGGUUCACUGUGAAUACCUAUACUUCACAAUCCUGGAUUUUAAACAGAAAAAUUAAACUUAUCAUCCUCUAAAUAAUUUACCCCUGGCUGAGCUAGGGAAAUUCUUCAGUGAGUAAAUCAUUGCACAAGCCAGACAAUGAGAAUUCAGAGCCUCGGAAUCUGCUUUCAGAAUCUGCUUAAAAACCCAAGUGGCAUGACAGCUCAUAGCUAUAAUCCCAACACUUGGUAGGUGAAGAUAGGGAAUCGGUGGGACAGGCUGUCUAACUAGACUAGCUGAAUAAGUGAAAUUUGGGUUCAUUUUGAGUUCAUUCUUUCGUCAAUAAAUAGCAAGUGAUUGAAGCAGACCCCCUACCUAUGUCCAACUCUGUCACACCUGCAUAUACAUGGAAACACAUGUAGACACAUGCAUGCAUAGUGUACAAACAUACAAAUAAAAAGUGCAUCUCUGUCCCUUAGAAAAUAAAAUAAAAUAGAUAUUUAGAAUAUUAUCUUUAUAUUGAUAAACAUGUUAACUAUGAACAGGACACUGUUUAUGUUCUAUCCUCCAGCAGCUCAAUAUAUACUUCCAUGUAAAGAUUUAGAAUUACUCCUGUUAGAAGUGGAUAUAACACAUUUACCUUCUUAGCAUUACUCAGUGUCAUUUUCUAAUAUUCUAUUAAAUUGGUGUUUAUUCGGGUUUCAGAAGAAUAAACUUUGCAAAGCACAGCACAUAAAGAAAUUUUACAAUAACUCUGAUUUGAAAAGAUACUCCAAGCUGGGCAGUGGUAGUGCAUGUCUUUAAUCCCAGCACUUGGGAGGCAGAGGCAGGUGGAUUUCUGAGUUUGAGGCCAGCCUAGUCUACAGAGUGAGUUCCAGGACAGACAGGGCUACACAGAGAAUCCCUGUCUCGAAAAACAAACAAGCAAACAAACAAGCCCCCCAAAACAAAACGAAACAAAAAAACAACAACAACAACAACAAAAAGAUACUCCUAAGCAGUGUAAUAAAUCUUAAUUACACAGAAAAAAGCUAUUGAGUACAUAUAUUCGUACUGCUUUGCUAAAAGCUAGUCAUUAGUUUACUAUUUAAAAUGCUCUAUUCCUUAUCUUACACUGUGGAAAAUGAAUCUUAAUGUUAAGCUUUCUCUAAGUUUGGCAAGUGAUUUGGGUGACUAGAUUGUGUUUCCUCCACUUGCCUGGCUGGCAGUAUGUGAAAUCCAAAGCAAGAUUAUAAACUAUUAUUAAUAUUUAUAAUGUAUAACUGAGAAUAACCAUUUCCAUUGUGCUUAACUGAUUUUCCUAAAAUCUUAGUGUAGACAUAAUGUAUUUAUUUUUAGCAUUGAUACCUACAUUUAGUCUUUUUACUUUUUUGAUUAAUAUGGCAGUAAUACCCUUUAUAGCAGGGUCAACUUUGUGGUUUAUGACUCUGAAAGGGUUCACAUAUCAAAUAUCCUGCAUACCAGAUAUUUACAUUAUGAUUACGUUACAUAACAGCAAUCUAACUACAGUUUUAAAGUAGCAACAAAAAUCAUUUUAUACCUAGAUAUCAGCACUAAAUGAGAAACUUUAUUAUAGGGGUUGUAGCAUUAGGAAGGUUGUAAGCCACAGCUUUAUAUUAUAAAGUCUAAAUCUGAGGUUUCAUUUUAUCUUAGUUUUUAGGUUUAUUUGUUUUAUUUUUAUGUAUGCCUGGGUGUAUGAACUUGUAUCAUAUGCAUACCUAGUUCCUGCAGAGGCCAGGAGAGGGCACCAGAUUCUCUGGAACUGGAAUUAUGAAUGAUUGUGAGCCACUAUGUAGGAGUUGGGAAUCCAACUGGAUUGUCUUGAAGAUCAGCAAGUGUUCUAAAUAACUAAACCAUCUUUUCAGGCCUCCAAAGUGAGGUUUUUGAACAUGUUCUUCAAGUUCUCUGAUCUGCCUCCCAUCAUGGAGGAAGCUCCAACUCAGUCCUUAGAGUCUCUGGUACUAGUUAUAGGAUCUCCUCUAGGUACGGAGUUUCCCCAACAAAACGACCUUUACCCACUGUUCUCGCUGAACCCCCUGAACACAGUGUAAUCCUUUAGAACCAUAGUGUGGAUCAGGUACUUGUAUGCCAGUACCCUGGAACACUGCCUUAUUUAUACAUGUAUUUAUUGCUUAUUCAUGUUGCAACAAACAAAUCCACAGCAGCACAAAUUAAAAGAAAAAAUACUAAAUAAUGGGGUUUCUAAUUCCUGAAAAAUGCUUUCUUACUAAAAUGACAUGUUAUUUUGGCAUGAUUUAUUAGUAUUACAACUAAGGUACAUAAUCUGUGAAAUAAUUCAAUGGUAUGAUUACAAUAAUUUGUGUUAAAUAUGACUGACUAGUAAGAAUAUCUAACUUCAUGUAUGAACAUGAUCACUUAAAUAGGGACUGAAAUCAAUGUACAGAUGGAUUACCCUUCAUCCAAAAUGCUUGAGACUAGAAAUGUUUCCGAUUAUUUUUUCUUUUUUCUUUUUUCUUUCUUAGAUUUUGGAAAAUUUGUGUAUACAUAGUGUGAUAUUUUGGAGAGAGUACUCAGUACUAAAUGUAAAAGUCAUUUGUUUCAUGUACAUUUAAAAAAAAUCCAAGGUAACUUUAUAUGCUAUUUUCAAAUACUUUUGGGCAUGAAAAUGGCAUCCUGUGUAGAGCAUUCCAUUUGUGGCAUUUUUACUAGCAUUCAAAAAUUUGAGGUUUGUGGAGAUGAAAGGGAGGCAUACCUAAUUCUGCAUUCAUGACAACAAGCAGAUGUUUAUAUAAGUCAUGAGUUAAAGUCAUUUAAUUUAGCAGGCCAUAGAACUCAAAUUGAAUUCAAUACUAUUAUCUGAUCAGACAUUAAUCUUAACUAAAACUGCCUCUUUUCAUCUUGGCUUAACCUCUUUUCAAAGUUUUCCCUGAAGGCUCGCAGUUUGGUUGAAUAGAUAAAUGGACUUUUAUUGCUGUGGUUCUUUAUGAUUGAAUCUGUCACUAGAUAAUUUUAUUAAGGAAAGGAGUUGAACUUUUCCGAGAAAUUAUUAUAAAAAGUGAUUCAAUGUGAUUCAUUUUUAGAACACAGUACAUUAUGAACACAUGUGAAGUAGAACAAAAAGUUUUUUAGGGGUUACUAUUCAUUGGUGGUGGGGCAAGAGGUAAGACUACUAAGACCCUUUAGAAGAAGUGUGAAAGUACUUUUCCUUGACUAUAUGUAAGUUUCUAGGAACAUCAUAAGGAAAGAAACAUAAUGCAAAAAAAUAAAAACAUACCUACAUAUUCACAUUUGUAAAAGUUAAAUAUCAGAAUAAAAUGCCAAUGGUUUUCAACUGAACUCAUAACAAGUUAUAGAUUCAAUAGUUUUAUAUAACUGUACACACAUAUAUGCAUGCAUAUAAAAAUCCAUCAUAGUUCUAUAUCAAGCUGUAAGCAUUAAUGCAUUACUUCUGUGUAUAAUGGAGGAGUGAGCCUUCACCUUUUUCACUUCUAGAGGAUGCCCAAGGUGCUAUGGUCAUAGCCUCUUUAUUUGACAGCCUAUAAAACACUCUGCACUUAGAAAAAGUUCUUUGCUUCCAAGAACUCCAGGUGGUACGAGGUUCAACAAGAUAAUCCAACAUCUCUACUCAUCUUAUUUAACCAGUUCAGCAAAAUCAGUGGUUACUAGUGGCAUAUUCACUAGAAAUUCCGAGGUUUCAAUAAUUACAAUGUGGGCACAUUUAGGGAACAACUAUUUUGUCUACCACAAACCUGUAGGGAGACAAAAAUAUGAAUUAAGCAUAUUUUAUGUUGGAUUUAGCAUUGUGAUCAAUGUUAAAGAUCUAUGACAGGCAGAAUCAUGAUAACUGGAAAAGUUAUAGUAGCUAAGUGGUAGGCAUUAUAUUGAAAGCUUUGUGUAUACUAACACAACAGUGCUAUGACAUAUUGUAUAGUUAAGAAAACUAAGGCACAUUUGUCUAAAAUUGGUUGAUAAAUGGUAGAGUUUGCUAUAACAAUCCAAACCCUCUGGGUUCAGAGUUCAUAAGCCUAAUAAUAAUGACCACAGUCAAUCACAACAAAGAUGACCCAUCAUAUUAGAAUAUAUUCUGCUAAUAUAGUCCUAUAUUUGUAAAAGAAACAUUGUAUGGAAACAGGCAGAAAGACUUAUGAUUACUUUAAUUUUAUUUACUAUCAAUAUUUUAAUAUGCUCCUUAUCCACAUUUGUUCAAGUUAUCUAAUCAGUUAAAUGUUAUUUUAGUGACUGUAAGGAUAAUUGUUACUGGUCUAUUUGUUAAAUGCAAUAAAGACUGUGUAAACUUGUAGUGAAACUGCUCAGAGGAGAUACACACCCAGGCAUGAGAAUUUUGUCAUAGCUGAGUAUGGAGUCACCUCUAACUGGCUUAGAUGCUGUGUGCUCAGGACAGACAGUGAGUUGUCCUGAAAGAAAAUGAAGUGGGUGUGAAUAAACCUUGAAAAGCACUUUAAAGCCAUUUGUCAAGGUGAGUCCAGAUGGAGGUAUGCAGAUGUGUAGACAUUUCCCCCACAGAAUCAAGGUAAUUAACAAUAGUUAUGUCAUCAGACAAGUCAAGGAAAGCCCUUAGCACCUCAUAGCUAAACACUUUAUGACCUUCUUUCUAAGUGAAAAUGCAAUCGACUUUCCAAUUUCAGACAUCUCUUUUCUCUACACACUUCUAUGGAACAGCUAGGACUCUCAGCUGUGAUUAAUGUUCCUUCCAGGAAGGUGUUUAGUUCCAGGGACAAAAGGAAAAGCAACAAGAAAGGUACAGCCACCUCAAGGAAUGGGAUUGCAUCUGUAACUAGGGCACCUUUGCAGAAGCCCGGCAUUAGCUAUGUUGUGUAUAAAGGACGUGAUAGGAAUUUACUUCACAAAGAAGUAAAUACUUAAACACCCUCUAAACAUGUUUAGUAUCACUUCUGGGUGAAACUAGAAGAUGGCUGAGAAACUCAUUAAAAUAUCAAUGAUGGUGUAUUGCACAGUGAUUUGGGACACCAAUUUUUAUUUACAGAAGAUGAGCAUUCCAACUUGACUGUUCUGUCUGAGAACAUGCAUCUCUUUUAUAGAGAUACUUCUCCUGCCUAAUAUUUUAGUUUCUUUUACUUGGGAAUUGGCAUUGUAUCACUUCCCAGGUUUCCUGUAAUGAAUGAGACAAUGUGAUGUAGAUUCAUCAAGUAGAUACUAGUUGCAUACAAUACUGAAUUACCAUCAAUUACAUUUGUCGUUGCUACUAUACCAGUAAAAUAUCUACCAUAAAAGCCCUUGAGGAAUAUUUUAUUUGAUUGGGUUUCCCUUAAGGCAGAUACCAGAUACAAGAUUACAUCACAAUUGCUUUAUUUGAAAGUUGUCCCAGGAAGUCAUGGGGACUGGAGCAGAGAGAUGAGAUGAAAUGAAAUGGUUACUAUUGUAGAGAAUCAGGACUGAAUGCUGGUGGAGACCCCAUGGCAUGGACUAAUCUGUUUUUGGCAUUUCCAAUAUGUGCGUUGAAAAGGCUGAGGUCAUCAUCCCCCACCUCUCCUCCGUUGCCCGAUAAAGAUGGGUUUCAAGGAAAUCAUUUUAUUUCUUAGCCAAGAGCCUCCUCUGCUUAGGAAACAAUUCAGUGUGCCCACAAAAAGAGAGGAAUGCCAUGUGUUGAAAGGUCAUAGUUCAGUGAUUAAGAAUGAGGAAGAAAUAGUGACUACAGAUAGAAUUACGUUUUACGGUACAGUCUAAAUGAUUCUCAAGCUGAUGCUGAUGGAAGGGAGACUAGGUCCUCAGUGUGGGUAAAGUUACCAUACACAAAUGUCGUUUUUCAAGGAGGCUUAAGUCCUACUUGUCUCACGAACCUUGUUGGUUAGCUUUUUUUCUUUUUUUCCGGUUUUACAUCUCUAACGAUGGUAUUUUUUAGCUCCAUGAACAGUUCUUUUCACUCACAGCACUUUAUUCCAAUGGCUUUACUAUCCAGUGGAUCUCAACAGUACACCCUCUCUCUGUAGCCAGAUUAGGAAUGCUUUCAGUAGCUGUUGGGACUGUAAAUGAAAUGCCCUCUUCUGAACACCAAGGUCUAAAUGACCAUCACUUGCUCCAGCAUGUUUUUCCCUUCAGCUUUUUACCCGUAGGUGGCAGCAACAGGCUCCAGAGUGCGUGUCCGCAGGUAACUGCUGCUGUCAAACCUGGAGUAUGACCAAGCAAGGACACAUAACCAACCGGAUGGUGCAUGAGGUCUGGUAGAUAAGUGCUCAAAUUUCAUCGGCUCCUUCCAUUGUUAAGAAAGCAGUCUGAAGCACCAAAACCAAACUCCUACAUUUCCUCUGGCUCCCUACAUUUUGCAACUUCAAGAGGCAAUUCCGUUCGGUCCUUGUAGCAGGCUAAUCUUUGAAACUCUGGAAUCUCUGUCCCUUGCUGUCCUUGCCUCGUGCCAAGCACAGGACUGUUGGUUGGCCGCCACCGUGUCCACUUCUCUCCCUCCGCUCUUUGCUGUAAGUGCAUGCAGGUUUUCCAGUGGGGAAGAAUGCCUUAGCGGCACCCCAGUUGAUAUCUCACCAUCCCUUUUCAUAACCGUACUUUCACACACACACACACACACACACACACACACACACACACACACACACACACACACCACAGCUUGCACGUGUAAUGCUUCUGGCAGGGUUGCCUCAGCAAGACCGAUACCAACAAAGCAAGGCAUCGCCAAGCAAGCAAGCAAGCAAGCACGCAAGCAAGCAAGCAAGCCAGCCAGCCAUGCCACCGGGACUCCUCCGACCCGAUCCCUCGCGUUGUUCCCGCAGUCAACGCCCCCGCAGCUCCCAGGCACCGCGACACCACGCCCGCAACGGCCAGGGCUGCUGCCCGCCACGACCUCUGAGAAGUUGUUGAUUGGGAGGGGAUCCGCUCAUCUAGGCAAGGGGAAGGGCGCCGCAGGGCGUCCGCGCGGCCCCCGCAGCCGCCCCGCCCCUGGGCCCCGCACGCGGAGCGCAGAACAGAGGCGCCCGGCGCGCAUCUCAGCCGCCCCGGGAGCCCGCGCACCCGUGCGUGGGGAGGGAGUGCGGGGCGGGCGAGCGCUCGUCGGGCGUGGGCCGCAACUUGGCGGGCCAGAUGCCCCAGGGCUCGGCGGCGCUGUCUGCCUGCCGCUGCUGCCCCUGCGGGGCCCGGGCGCGUCUCCUUGGGCGGCGCUGCCCGCGGCGCUGGGAGUGCAGUGAACGAGUAAAGGUAUGUGUGGCGGGCGCGGCUGGGGCAGCCGCCGCCGCGCAGGACACUGUCACUUCCCUGGACAUUGGCAGCGGCAUCUGGGAGCCCUAGAGCCCUGGGCAGGUUCUCCUGUCCUUCCCCACGAUCUGAUUGGAUAAACUGGGGCCUCGACGGUGGCCGACGUGGGACAGCCUGGCUGUGGCAGGGGUCUCGGAAACCAUGGGUUAUUGCAGUGGCAGGUGCACGCUUAUCUUUAUCUGUGGCAUGCAACUGGUUUGUGUGCUAGAGAGGCAAAUAUUUGAUUUCCUUGGAUAUCAGUGGGCACCUAUCCUGGCAAAUUUUGUACAUAUAAUCAUCGUCAUCCUUGGGUUGUUUGGAACUAUUCAAUAUAGACCUCGUUACGUAACAGGAUAUGCUGUCUGGCUAGUUCUCUGGGUGACCUGGAAUGUAUUUGUUAUCUGCUUCUAUUUGGAGGCUGGAGAUCUCUCAAAGGAAACAGACCUUAUCCUGACAUUUAAUAUUUCAAUGCACCGAUCUUGGUGGAUGGAGAAUGGACCAGGAUGUAUGGUGACGUCUGUGACACCUGCCCCAGACUGGGCUCCAGAAGACCAUCGCUACAUCACUGUCUCAGGGUGUUUUCUGGACUACCAAUACAUAGAAGUGGCUCAUAGUUCCCUCCAGAUUGUCCUCGCACUGGCGGGCUUCAUCUAUGCCUGUUAUGUUGUGAGAUGUAUAACUGAAGAAGAGGACAGCUUUGACUUCAUAGGUGGCUUUGAUUCUUAUGGAUACCAAGGGCCUCAGAAGACAUCUCACUUACAACUUCAACCAAUGUACAUGCAAAUUCCCUUGGAUAACAACUGAUAGCAAAUUCUAUAUCUCAGCAUCAAGUGAUAUGCUGAAUUGCAAGAGAAGAUCAAAAUAGAAAGUCAAAAUAACACAGAUGGCUCUGUCUGUCAGCCCAUGGACUCCUCAAAUGAUUUGUGCGGUGGCCUCUUGCCUUUUAUGAAGCUCAAGAAGCAAAUGGAUUUAAAUACACAUACAUGUUAUCAGACCAAACAGGAAGUUUCUACAUAGACACAUGAGUGAACACACACACACACCCACCACUGCCAUUAUCAUGCACACAUCAACUACACUGGACCUCCUCUUUCUGACUGAAACUGAUAAAUAUGCAGGAUACCCCCAUCCUAGAUUUCCUUAAUGCAGGUUCCCUUCUUCCAGACCUUUGAAGGUGGGAAAGGAGCUGUAUGUGUGUCUUCUGCAGAUCCCUACUUACCCAUCUGCAGCCCAGCCAGUUGGCUCUGUGAGGUGCCAAGUUAACCCAGGCACACAAGUUUGGAACCCUGUUCUCUGCACUCCAUACAAUACAUCUUGAUUACACCACAGCUACUUUACUUGCAAAAACUGGUCAGACAGAACAUGCCAUGAUGACCUUGUACCAAAUGCAAAAUGGCAGGUCGUUUGCCCUAAAGGCUAUACUGUACAUACUUGCCUUAAACCACCUGCAUUGUGUGCCCGAGACUCUCAGUGCAAAUGUCCCCCAGUCACAUCCUUUAGGCGAACACACUGCUAUUAAUUCCGGACUAUUGAAUCAAGGAAUAAGACUGAACCACUCAGCAGCUCCAGUGUGUCUGUAAGAAAUUGAUGUUUUACUACUGAGCCUCUUCAGUGGCCACAAAGAGACAAAGAACCAACAACAACAGUAACUGUCAUCUUCAUGUCUCUUAAACAUGGUCUUCUGAUGGUGGAACAAAGUAAAAUGUAUUAUUCUACUAAACUCAUUAAUCUACUAAAAGCAGAAAUGGCUUGACUGGUUGGUUUUCUUUCUGGCACUUUAAGUGCUUUUCUAAGUCUCUGCGAAUCGUUUUUCCUAACAGAGGAAACAGUUGUGGAUUUCUAUGACAGAGACCAACUAUGUAUUAGCUAUGUUUACUCUUUUAUAUCUAAUUCAAAUCCAAGAUCCAAUGUAGGUGAACUUUCUUUUCUAACUUCAGCAUACAAGAUUAUUUUUGGGGCGGGUGGGUGGGGUGCAAUAGUUAACUUAGUGGAAUCUUUGAGAUCUCUUUGUGAUAUUUGGGGGAUCUGUUGUGUGUUAUACUGUAUUCCAAUUCUGUAUUAGUGUGGCAGAAGAAAAAAAACGUGCUGUUGACGUAGUUGGCAAUGAGAUACCUUUGGAGACAAUAGUAGAUCAAUGUGUUUAUGGGAUAUUCUGAACUACUAGGCAAUUUAGUUUUAUAUUUUCAAGCACUCUUUGGUUUUCAUUAGUGGAAGACAUAAUUAGCUCAAGCUUAUCAGUAACACGAAUGAGUCAUGCUUUUCUUGAAUCUACUUGAGACACUAAAUUCAAGUUUUCUUUAGCACAUCACCUUCGUGUGCAGUGAAAUUCAGACUGAGAAGUUAAACAUUGGCAUGGAACAACUCCUUUUCUUUUGGUAUUUACUUUUCUUUUAGUUUCAGUUUCUGGGUUAACCCUUUUUGCAUUCAGAUCUCCAUUAAGACAGGCCAGUUGCUGUCUUUGCAAAAAUGUUUGCAACACAUGCCCAUUUGAACCCAUUUAAACUCAAUGAAGGCACUAAAAAUGGCCAUUGAAACAUAAACUUCAUGCACAAAAAGGUUUUAACACUCACACUUGAGUUUUCCCAGUGGCUUGUAUAUGUCAGUGCAUACCUAUAUGUGUGAAAUGGACAGUUGCAAACACAUCAGUGAAACCUCAUAUGGUGUUUUUAUAGUGAUAUGCAUGUUUAAUGUUUGAGGAACUAGUUGCCAAUGUACUGUCCUUUUAUUCCUAAAAUAUAAAUACUAUACAUGCCAGAAGCUAUUCUAAUGUGACUUUUGACAUGAGGUUUCACUGCAUUGCUGCUGGGAUGGGAUUCCACCUUGUAGUACAUGUGUAGGGAGGGAGUAAUAUAAGCUAUCAUGUUUCCUUUUAAGUUGCAGCCAACUCUCCACCAAGUCAGUAUAUCAUCACCACCAAAGUUUUCAGAAACAGUUGUUGACUACUCUUGAGUAGUCAGUGGGCGGGCCUUUUUAGGAGCAGUAAGCAAAGUAGUGUGAUUCUAGCUGGGAAACAUCAAAGCUGUCAGCUGUAUCCUCCUCAAAACCUGGUGAAGAAUGCUAUUUUUCUAGGCUGAACUUUUGUUAUAAACCUAAUAUUCUGAAAGCAAGAGUUAACUAUCCUGAUCAGUCUUUUUUUCUCCUCUUGGAUUUGUUAAUUCUGAAUGUAUUUUUAACAGAGUGAUUUUUUUGACUUUACUAGUGUAAUUUGCAUUUUAAAAAUAAAUGGAAAAAUGAUUAA